rnacentral:lncRNA from 10 species
UUCAGAAAAUAUUUAUUCACACCUCACCUCACUCCUUAAUGCACUCAGUGUUUUACCACGGGUAGGAUCAGGUCCUAACAUGUGGUAUGAGUACCCAUAAAAAGAUCCUGAGUAAGGGGACAUACUAGACUAUUCAGUAUGCCCUCUGAUAACUAAUCCAUCAGUAGAUAUUUGUUCUUUGAUAUGACUUUGGCAUAAAUUAAGGUUGUUAGUUUCACAGUGAGGUUUCCCCCACACACACACACAGCACAGUGGAUUUUGGCAUGCAUAAUUUUAACAUUCAUAAGCAAUCCUAAAGUUCCAAGCCAUGGACUCAUGUAGUGAUGCAUUAGGUGCUGGGGAUACAGCAGGAAACAAAACAAAUACAUUUCCCAUCACAGUGGCAUUUAUGUUCCAACUGUUGUAUCUAACCCAUGGAGCCAGGGAAGCCCUCUUUAGGUAAUGAUUUUAUAAAGUGUGUUGUGUGUCAGAAAUUAUGUUAACCUCAUGAUGUAAAUUAAAAUAUUCACCAUGGAAUCUCUGAGUUUCUUAGAGCUCAGCAGGGCAAAGAGGAAUUAACUAGGGAGAGAGCUGUGGGAGAGCAUUCAAAGCAGAGGGAGAAGCAUGCCUUACUUAAUCUUACUCCAUUUUAAAAAGAUAACACAAUAAGCCCCUCAUCUUGUCCCAACCUCUAAAAUUUCUAAGUAUGAGAAGAAGGGAAAUAACUGUUACUGAACAUAUGUAUGUGUCAGACUUCUAAAAUAACAUAUGUCAUGCCAUUUUAACCCUAAUGGGGUGAGAUAUUAUCUAAAUAUUGCAAAUAAGUAGUCUGAUUAUGUCUUGGUUUGCUCAAUAUGGUUCUAUCCCAGGGCAAUAAUUUAUAAUGCUCCCCUUUUCACUCUUGAAAGCGUUUCAGUUUGUGCGAUAAAUUCUAUGGUCAUAAAUAAAUGAAGCUCAGAGGGAUUAUUAAUUUGCCUUGGGUUACACAGCUAGUAAGUGCAGAGGGUGAUGUGAUACCACAUCGGUGCUCUCUGAUCUAAAGCCCAUGCUCUCAACUGUGUAUUGCACACACAAUUUGUUGGCUCUACUCCUGUGUUCCUCUCUAUGUAAUUCUUCCAAUCACGGUUAGGUAGCCCAAGACUAAACUGACAAAAAUUGGCUUUCUGACAUCUGCCUUCACUAAUUCUGCUGAGUCAUGUAUUUCUAUAAAGUACAAAUGAAAAGAAAUGAAGCACUAAGAUUAAAUAUGAAACAUGUAUCGUAAGUAGUAGUUCUUUUCUUGGUAUGCUUAUCUUUAUACUUACAUUUAGCCUAUUCUUUAUGUUGCCCAAGUAUGUGGAAACUAAUUUAAAAUGCAGUUGCUUCUGAAACUCAAUAUGUGACUCUAAUGACAAAACAUUGGCUAUCAUUGUUCUUUUCUAUUAUAUGAUACCUUGUGGGCUAGGGAGGUUCGUGACUUGCCCUGGUGAGCUGAGCCUGAGUGUAAGAAGUUUAGCACUUCUUAAAAUAAUCAAUUAAACCCUCUUAUAUUUAAGGCAUCUUAAUAACACUUUCUAACACAGUUUUUAUCUUGGUCAAAACUGAGUAAUACAGGUAAAUUUUUUUUUCAGCCGAAUAUGAUAAAAGCUUUUGAAAGCAUUCUUCAUAUGUAAAUAUAUCAAAAGCAUGGAAUAGGAUGCUAUUGCUUCCCCUUUUAUUUUAAACAAAAAAUCAGAUUAUGCCAAAAUCAUAUUAUAAGUAAAUAUUACAUUAUUUUGUUCCUUUAUGGAAUAUACUGUUACCUCAAAAGAUGCUGGCAUCACUCUGUCUGCUUAAAAACAAGAUUUUAUGAAGUAUGUCAUGUGUUAGAAUUUGUUUCCUUUAUGAUAUAUGUAAAAAUGGUUCACUAUGGAAUCUCUGAACAUGUUUUAUUAAAUAGUAUUCCCAACUGUUUGCUACAUACCUUAUUAGUACCUCUUUGAAUAUAUUUUCAGGUCUUUCAGUCAAUCUAUCAUUCAUUUAUUCAAUUCAUAUUCCUGUGCCACUGAAUAUGUUGCUUGUGCAACUGCUGUUAGCACAAGUGGAUUUAUACUUAGUAGACCGGAAAUAUAUACCACCUUCCUUCCUUGCUUUCUAACUCAGAGAACGUCUCCUGAUCUUCAUCUAGCUCAUUCUGCUCUCUUCCCAGCCAAGACCACAAAUAGAAUUUUAUUUAGUAAUUUUGUGGAAACUCCCUUUUUUUUCCCCCAAACUGUCUUCUUUUCUUACAUUCAUCAAAUAUUAUGGCUAAAAGAAGGCUCUGUGGACUGUGCAGUUCAGCACUUCUGUCACACUGUGAGUGGGAUGACAGUGUGCAUUAUGAAAGGAAAGGGUUCUGUGGCCAAAUAAAUACGGGAAACCACGGGCUAAACACAGCUUAAAAGGCCUUUUGACUGUGAGACACCUCCAAAUAUAGGAUAUGGAAUAUACCAAUUCCUAAAUUUAUUUGACCACAAAAACCCUUGCUCACCGUUUGUCUUGCAAGGCUGAUAUUCUAAGAAGGGCACGUUGGAUAACGCUGAUCUAGAACCUCAUUUUAUAAACAAAUUGCCCCUGAGAAAAUAAGUGACUCACCCAAGACCUCACAGCUAUUUGGUGGAAAAUCAGGAGACCAGAACCUAUUUUUGCUGCUUCUGACCUAAGCAACUGGACAUUUCACAGCCCUGAGAAUCCUGCUGUCUCUUCCUGCAUGCAUUUGUGGAUAUGACUUACAAGAUGGAAUCUGACUGCUGUUACUUGCGUCCUGCUCCUUUCUUUAGCCCGUAUACGUUUGACUCUUUGUAAGGGCUGUGAACGCCAGUGAUUUCCUAUUCCAGUGGAACUAGGAAAGUUGACAUUAGGUUGAUUCCAUUUUCUUCUGAACAGUCAAUUCAAAGUUUACCAAAAUUGUCUUUUUCAUUAGAAAAAAAUAAGUUUAUAUGAUAAAGAGUUCACUUUCAGUCAAAAAGUUCAUUGGACAAGUAUUUAUUGAAUGCCUUUACAUGCCACAUACUACUCUAGUUGCUACAGAAAUAGCAGUAACCAAAACAAAAUCCUUGCCCUCAUGGUGAUUAAAAUCCAAUGAAGGAAAUCAGGGAAGAAACAAGCAUCAGAGGUUGGUAAGUC